GAAUGGGGGGAACCCUGAUCAGCCUGCCGCGUGUGUGAAGAAGGCCUUUUGGUUGUAAAGCACUUUAAGCGAGGAGGAGGCUACUCUAGUUAAUACCUAGGGAUAGUGGACGUUACUCGCAGAAUAAGCACCGGCUAACUCUGUGCCAGCAGCCGCGGUAAUACAGAGGGUGCGAGCGUUAAUCGGAUUUACUGGGCGUAAAGCGUGCGUAGGUGGCCAAUUAAGUCAAAUGUGAAAUCCCCGAGCUUAACUUGGGAAUUGCAUUCGAUACUGGUUGGCUAGAGUAUGGGAGAGGAUGGUAGAAUUCCAGGUGUAGCGGUGAAAUGCGUAGAGAUCUGGAGGAAUACCGAUGGCGAAGGCAGCCAUCUGGCCUAAUACUGACACUGAGGUACGAAAGCAUGGGGAGCAA
rnacentral:rRNA from 1 species